rnacentral:lncRNA from 1 species
UUUUAUAGAUAAUUGUUUAUAUACCUCUCAAAAUUUUUGAAAUAUCUUAUUUAUUCAUUUAUUUAUUUUGUUUCAAGUAUACCCUCUAUAUAUUUUUCUGUUAUUCAAAAAUCCUGCUGCUUUUAAUGUCCGUUUAGUUAUCUCGGGUUAAACUGGAGUUAAAAUUUCUAUCAUAGUUAAAUAUGGUAAAAAUACCUAUUUUGUCCCUAACUUGAGAGAAAAGUUGGUGGCGGUAGAAGAGUAUAUUUGAAAAGACAAAAAAUUAAAAAACUUCAUUUGCUCCUAAUUUAAGGGUAAAUAAAAUAAAUUGGUGAUGGUAGAAGGUAUAUUUAAAAGGGCAAAAUAGUAAUUUUAUAGAGAUAAGGGUGUGUUUAAAAGACUUUGGAAUUUUAAAAGGGUAUUAUUAAUAUUAGCCUUAUAAGAGAGAUAAAAAAGAAAAUAAGAAACUUUUCGGGAAUAUAUAAGCAAUUGCCUUUUUUUUUUAGGGUAAACUUCAAAUAUUACCCUUGUGGUUUUGCACUUUCUUACUUUAAUACCCUGUGAUUUAAAGUGUAUCAAAUUAGUGUCCUGUGGUUUUAUUUUUAUCUGUUCGUCAGCUUUUCCGUUAAUAUUUUGUUAAAUUAUCUAUAAAAAAGUUCAAAUAUCUCACCUAGGUUUAUCGAAUAUUCACUUUAGUACCUUUUAGUUGUAAUUUUAUCACUAAUUUAAAGAAAAAAAUUAGUCAAAUUGAUAAUAAAAAAAUAAAAAGAAAACCAUAGGAUACUAAAAUUGAUACACUUAAAAUUACGGGGCACUAAAGUGAAAAAGUAUAAAACCACUGGUGUGGUAUUUGAAGGGUUUUU